GAUGAACGCUGGCGGCGUGCCUAAUACAUGCAAGUCGAGCGAGAAAUGUCCGAUUGAGACUUCGGUGGAUUUCGGACAUGGAAAGCGGCGGACGGGUGAGUAACGCGUAGGCAACCUGCCCUUUGCACAGGGAUAGCCACUGGAAACGGUGAUUAAUACCUGAUAAUGCAUCCUCAUCGCCUGUUGAGGAUGCCAAAGAUUUAUUGGCAAAGGAUGGGCCUGCGUCUGAUUAGCUUGUUGGUGGGGUAACGGCUCACCAAGGCGACGAUCAGUAGCCGACCUGAGAGGGUGAUCGGCCACAUUGGAACUGAGACACGGUCCAA
rnacentral:rRNA from 1 species